UACGUAGGGGGCGAGCGUUGUCCGGAUUUACUGGGCGUAAAGCGCGCGCAGGCGGUUUCUUAAGUCUGAUGUGAAAGCCCACGGCUCAACCGUGGAGGGUCAUUGGAAACUGGGGAACUUGAGUGCAGAAGAGAAAAGCGGAAUUCCACGUGUAGCGGUGAAAUGCGUAGAGAUGUGGAGGAACACCAGUGGCGAAGGCGGCUUUUUGGUCUGUAACUGACGCUGAGGCGCGAAAGCGUGGGGAGCAAACAGG
rnacentral:rRNA from 1 species